CGUCGGUACGGUAUUUUCGGGAAAUAACGCCCUAAUGUCUAAGCUUCCCUAUUCAGCCGCACCGAGCCUCCCACCCGAUUGACACUCUUGAGAUGGAGAAAGCAGAUGGAAAAUCGGUGGAAAAUCAAGGAAACAAAGGACAAACGAAAAAAAUCGAAAGGUAAGAGCUUUUUCCAUAUCGAUUAAUCAUUUUUUUUUAUUUCAUUCUCUUUCUUCAGAUACCCGGGAAAGGAGAGCACCUGAGGGAGAUGGGAGGGGUUUCUUAGCAUCCCGUUGAAGUUUUUUAUUUAGCAUAUGGGAUUUUGUCGGAGUUGUGGCGGUGUGAGUUGGUCCCUAGGUUUUGAGAGCUUAAUCCAAAGGCAGAUGUUGGAUGGGGAAGAAGAAACAAGGAGCUUAAUCUCAAAGAGCCAAGAAAGAGCAAGUUCGAAGUGGUGAUGCAACUGCAAUCGAGUGUUUUGAGCUCGGUGUAGUUAUGCUCGUGAGAAAAUUCUACCGAGCAACUGUCAAAUAUUUGCAGCAAGCAAUUGAGAAAUGGGACAGAGAUGAUCAGGAUCUUGCAUAGGAGGUAUUUCUAAGAACAAGAUGUACGGAUUUGGGCCGUAUAUACAUUUAUUCAAUGUACUCACAAAGAUUCUAACAUCAUACUCUAUUUCUCAAUCAGGUAGCUUUUCAAGAAGCGUAUCCACCGACCAUUGUACUGUCUAAGGAGCUAUGGAGAUUUCGUAAGAGCAUAUUAUAGCAGUUUUGAUAAAUCUUCGAUAUUGGAAGAUGCUACGAUCUCUUAUUUUUAGUCUUAAUUUUACAUUCUCUGAUCAAUUAUCAUCUCCUCCAUAAGAAGGAAUCGAGUCAGAUAAUCUCCAACUGAUCCUUCAUGUGAUUGAUGUUUGAUUAUAAAUUUAUUAGGUAUAGUCUUAUAUUUGAUGUUGGAUACUAACGAGAGUUGAAUUGUUUAAUAUUUUGAUGUAUUAUAUUUGUUUAUGAAUUAAAACCUUGAUGGAUGCUAAACUUAUAUUUUGUGGAAGCUUUA